CCUCGGACGCAGAAAGCGUUGCCUACUAGUGGUAAAACACAACAGCAACUUAAGAGGGUCAAGCAGCGUAAAAGGCGACUGCUAGUGGACCCGGGCCUGCUGGGGAGGCCCGCGGUUUCCGCGACACUGUCAAAUUGCGGGGAGUUCCUAAAGCCUCUUGCUACCGCGGCCCGCCGAAAGGCAGGGUGCAGCACCAGGGUAAUGACCUCGGGGAUGGUAAAAACGCAGAGGAUGCUAACAAUGGAUGAUCCGCAGCCAAGUCCUACGUCUCGGGGGCCCUCUCCUCACUAUGCUCGGAGGGGGCCAGGCACCGGGAUACGGAUGCAGUUCAACGACUAGACGGCAGUGGGUCCGAGGGGGGCGAGCAUGAUCCCACCCGUACUGGGUUCGGGAGCCCCCCGCUGAACGGGCUUAAGGUAUAGUCUGCUGGUCUCCCGAAAGGGAUGC
rnacentral:ncRNA from 1 species